rnacentral:misc_RNA from 1 species
GAUGAAGAACGUAGCGAAAUGCGAUAAGUAAUGUGAAUUGCAGAAUUCAGUGAAUCAUCGAAUCUUUGAACGCACAUUGCGCCCGGCAGUACUCUGCCGGGCAUGCCUGUUCGAGCGUCAUUUCAACCCUCAAGCCCUGCUUGGUGUUGGGGCCCCACGGCUGCCGUGGGCCCUGAAAGGAAGUGGCGGGCUCGCUACAACUCCGAGCGUAGUAAUUCAUUAUCUCGCUUAGGGCGUUGGUCGGCGCUCCAGCCGUUAAAGAACCAUCUUUAACUCAAGGUUGACCUCGGAUCAGGUAGGAAUACCCGCUGAACUUAAGCAUAUCAAUAAGCGGAGGA